rnacentral:rRNA from 1 species
GAUGAACGCUGGCGGCGUGCCUAAUACAUGCAAGUCGAGCGAACGGACGAGAAGCUUGCUUCUCUGAUGUUAGCGGCGGACGGGUGAGUAACACGUGGAUAACCUACCUAUAAGACUGGGAUAACUUCGGGAAACCGGAGCUAAUACCGGAUGAUAUUUUGAACCGCAUGGUUCAAAAGUGAAAGACGGUCUUGCUGUCACUUAUAGAUGGAUCCGCGCUGCAUUAGCUAGUUGGUAAGGUAACGGCUUACCAAGGCAACGAUGCAUAGCCGACCGGAGAGGGUGAUCGGCCACACUGGAACUGAGACACGGUCCAGACUCCUACGGGAGGCAGCAGUAGGGAACCGGCCGCAAUGGGCGAAAGCCUGACGGAGCAACGCCGCGCGAGUGAUGAAGGUCUUCGGAGCGUAAAAAUCUGUUAUUAGGGAAGAACAUAUGUGUAAGUAACUGUGCACAGCUUGACGGUACCUAAUCAGAAAGCCACGGCUAACUACGUG